rnacentral:lncRNA from 1 species
AGUAGUUGUCCUUGGAGCAGGAAUAGAAGUGAUGGAGACUGGAUGAUCUCAAGCAGUCAAAAGCAGCCACGCAUCUUCUUGUGUCUGUAGCCUGCAAGAGCUGCCUUUGGUCACCUUAGUUUACUAACAGCUUUGACAAAGUCAGGUUUCAGAGUAGAUGUCACAGUUAGGGGUCAGGGGGAGGAGAAAGAGGUGAUGAAAACCAGAAAAGGCUAAACAGUCAGGAUCUCAAAAACUAUUUCGCUAUGUUUGCUUAUUAAACACAUCUUUUGCUUUUGUGAGCUAGGGUACGUGUGAGAAGAGGGUUCUGAGGUGGGAUGUCUUUCGUUCCUGAUGAGCUAGCUACCUUUUGUUUCCUUUCCCAGAACUGUGUGUGUUAGUGUGUGCUAGUGUGUCCACAGUGUCACGGAACAGUCUUUAAUAGUUACCUGAAUUGGGAUGGCUAAGUUGCUAUACUGAGCUGGGUCAUAUGUAAAUUUUCACUUUUUUUUUUUUUAGGCUAACUGCAUUUACAUAAUGUGCGAUGUUUGUGUUGGUGUCUAAAUUAGAUCCUGACUCUGGGCUGCCCUCUUUUCCUUCCUCUAGGUUCCCAGGUGGCUACAACACAGCAAACUUUGAGACUUCAGACUCCCAGCGCUCAUCUUCCCAAUGAUCCAUCCCAGAAAGGUGAACAUAUGACAAUGUUUCUAGAAGAAAAGGAGUUAUUGGAGACUCAACAAAACCAGGAUUUGGAAGAGGACAGGCAAAUAUUAUUUGACAGAGCUAGAAGCUCAGCUGCGAGCUCCUUUCCAUCCAUUGGAGAAGGGUAUCCUGCUCGGUGGGGAUUUUUUUUUUCAGACACGUGGUGACUGAUGCUUGUGUCUAGGGAAGAAAUUUUGACCCCACUGUUGAACUGUGUUGGGAGAUCUGGAUUCCAGAACGUUCACAUGGAUCUCUCAGUGAUCCUGAUUUGUCCCUGUGAGCCUUGCUUUCACCCCACCACAAGGAGGAAUGGUGAACUUCGUCUUCACUGUGAAAUGUGCUCUUCAUGCAGGCAACCAAACCAAAGAAAGAGAUGAUCAGAUCUGUGUAAUGGAACACUCCAGUGCUGAUUGGUUGGGGGGAAAAGACUCCCCCAUGCUUGUCUUUUUAUUUUGAAACGAUCAAUGGCCACAAGCGCAUUAAGUUAUACUCUUGAUGUAUCUAGUUGCAAGGUAAGAAGCCUGUGUAAAGAGUUGACUUAAUAUCUGCAUAGGUGAAGUGGAGAGAUACUGGAUGGGCACGCAUGCGCAUGCCUGCUUCCCAGGGACUUGGCUUUGAUCUGGAGUGAUCUCCCCCUUGGUGACCCCUUGGCUGGCUACUAAGUCUAAAUAGUUGUCUGGCAUCCUUUCUCUUGGUCUCUUUGUUCUUUUAUUCAACAAUUGCGUCUUAAAACCCAAGAAGCCACCAGGGACUCCCACACAGGUGGUGGAUCUUUUAUCUGUUCCUCUGUGUUGUGAGAUACACUGGGCCUAACACACUUCCGGGGUAAUCCAGCUUUUGUAUACUCAGGGCA